CCCACCUUUCUUUCUCUAUCUUCCCUCUCCCGUACGCACGCUGUCGCCGUUGAUCACCGUCGUCGUCGCCGUCGUCUGCGGCCACCGCCGCAAUCCUCAUCCAUCAGCAUUUUUGAUUCGCCAUCGACGACAUUUCAUCGUCGUCGUUUUUAUCUUUAAGAAGGUUCCGACGAUUGAUUUUCGUGUGAUUUUCAACUGGAUAGCUUCCUACCUUAGAAGCCGCUUUUGAGAAGCAAGCUUCGUCUUUGUAUUGCGCCUUCGAGUGCCUGCACCUAUCUGCGCCUCUAUUUUGUUUGCACCUUCGGGUGCCUAUGUUUUGUACAUGCACCUCCGGUGCCUCUGUUCUGUUUGCGCCUUCGGGUGCCUCUAUUUUGUUUAUGCCUUCGGGUGUCUUUGGAUCUCGCCAACGGAUCAUAUGAUAUAGUU